AAACAGUGUCCCUGUUCCUUGAAAAUUUUUUAUGAAAAUCGUCGAAACAAAGUAUUGUAUGUUCUAUUUUAUCAAUUCAAUAUUUAUUUAUUCCUCGAAGUAUACAGUUGAAAAAGUCCUAAUUUCAGUGCAACUUUUAGUCGUGCCUCCAAUUUUUUUUAACAUUAAAUAAAAUAAAAUUAUAUUUUGCGGGAUGCCUAGCGCUCUUGUUAUUUGUUUUUGAUUAAAAUAAUAAAAGAUAUAAUAUACAUAUAACUCUUUAUCUAAAUGGAGCUGAAAUCGCAUGAGAAUUUCUUAUAUGAUGAGGAUCUACCAUCGCAUCAAAGCCCAAAGUAUUCACAUUCAGUAUCGACUAAUCAGAGGUCUCUAGGUAAAAAAAAACAAUUGGGUGAACAACUUUUAAAUGAUGAGGCAGCUGAGAACAUUGCUUCACUUAUGUUGCUCAAUUAUGACAGUAAGUUAUAUGAUGAGGAUGAUACUUCACAACCAACUUCCUGCACAGCUCCUAUAAUUCCUAUUGAGGCCCUGCGCAAGAAAAAGAAAAGGAAGAGAUCUCAAAUUUCAAUUUGCCUGACAAACUGUCGCUAUGAGUCAAUCCGCAAAGUCGCCAGCGCUUUUGGUAUGCGCGAAGUUUCUGAGGAGGAGGCGUGGAAUUUCUACUGGACAGAUAUGAGCGUUUCUGUUGAGCGGGCUAAGGAAAUGAAGAGAUUUCAACGCAUUAACCAUUUCCCUGGAAUGCUUGAGAUUUGCAGAAAGGAUUUACUUGCAAGAAACUUAAAUAGAAUGCAAAAAAUCUAUCCUAAGGAAUAUAAUUUCUUUCCAAAGACUUGGUGUUUGCCUGCUGAUUUUGGUGAAGCAUUUAACUACAGCAAGGCGCGCAAAAAUAAGACGUUCAUAAUAAAGCCCGAGUGCGGCAGCCAGGGGCGCGGCAUCUAUCUCACCAAGUCGCUCAAAGACAUAAAGCCCACAGAUAAACUCAUUUGUCAGGUAUAUUUGUCGAAGCCGUACCUUGUCGACGGUUAUAAAUUCGAUAUAAGAGUGUAUACGCUCAUUACUUCUUGCGAUCCCCUUCGGAUUUUUGUUUAUAAUGAAGGCCUUGUCAGAUUCGCUACAAGCCGCUACGCGGACCCCAACAUCAACAACACGACCAAUGUCUUCAUGCAUCUCACUAAUUACGCUUUGAACAAGCACAGCCGCACCUACGUCUACGACUCGGAAGCGGGCAGCAAACGCAAGAUAUCGACGCUGAACAAGCUGUUGCUAUCGCAAGGCGUUGACCUGGACCGACUGUGGCAUUCAAUCGACCAAGUGAUCGUGAAGACCAUCAUCUCCGCUUGGCCCAUCCUCAAGCACAGCUACCACGCGUGCUUCCCCUCCCACGAUAUGGUACACGCGUGUUUUGAGAUUCUCGGUUUCGAUAUACUAUUGGACCACAAGUUGCAUCCGUAUAUUUUAGAGGUAAACCACUCUCCAAGUUUCCACACCGACACGCAACUUGACCGCGAAGUGAAGGAGGGUUUGUUGACUGAUACAUUUACGAUGCUCAACAUCUGGCAGUGCGACAAGAAACGCGUGCUCGAAGAAGACCGCAAGAGGAUACGAGACCGAUUACUGCAGACCAACAAAUUUGCGGAAUAUGCUCCAUCUGAAGAAAAAGAGCCUGAAAAGAGUCCAUGGCAGACACAAAUACAAUGGGAAGAGACUCAUCUAGGAAAUUACAGGCGUGUGUACCCAGUUGGAGAACAGUACGCGAGUCUGUUCCAGCAGCCGUCAGGUUCCCUAUACACGGGUACGGCGUCGUCGCGGGCACGCGGCGACUGCACACGGCUGCAGCGGGAAGAGUUCCAGGCUUUACAGCAAACGAAAGCAAAAGCAGAAGCCUUAAAGAAACCAUCACUACCGAAAACCAAAGAGGGAGACAAGAAGGAAAAAGAUGGAGAGGAAGCGACCCUCACGACCGCGAGCGUUGCAAGUGAGAAGACGCGGCCGAGAGUGCGCGAAACGAAACGCAAGGAGAAGGAUGAAAAGAAUAAAUUGUCAACGAAAUCUUCGCCAGUGACACAACCGGUGCCUCAAACAGAAAUAAAGGAGGAGCCGUCGAAGCCGCCAUACGUUCAUUGCUCGUACGAGCCGGAUCCCAUCGUGGAGAAAGAAGAGCGCGAGCGCGUCAACUUGCUGGCGCAGAGAGAUUUCCUCAUCCGAAGUUAUGGCAUGCUCGAGCAGAUAUAUCUGGUCAUGAAAAAAAUGGGCACAUUACGGCCCGAAGACGAACGGAAGUAUGGCGUGUAUGGACGUUUAUCGAUUGCGUCUAAUUCGCCUAAGAAAGUGUAAGAAGUAACGUAGACGCAGCAGACACGACUAAAAUGUAUAAAGAAGUAAAGAGAUUAACAGAAGAGUAGAUAAAAUUAUGUGUGCAGAUAAAAAUAAAGAAGAACCAAUAAAGCUACCAAUUAUAGCCGAAACGUGGACGAUUAAUAACUUCCACAAUCGCACAAACUAUCGCACAAAGGAAAAAUGGGACAUUGUCUAGUGCCGUUCGUGUGUUCCUACAACUUAAAAUACGCAUUUAUAACUGUAUCAAAUAUAGUGACUGUCUUGAUAUGUUAUUUCAUGCAAUACAAAUAAUUUGCUUAUAAUUUACCCAUUUUGCAUAAUAAAUCAAAAUUCUGGGAACCUAGAAAUA